UCGAGAAUCUUCGGCAAUGGGCGAAAGCCUGACCGAGCGACGCCGCGUGCGGGAUGAAGGCCCUCGGGUUGUAAACCGCUGUCAGUGGGGAGGAAGGCUCUGUGAAGAGCAGGGUUUGACCUAUCCGCAGAGGAAGUCCGGGCUAAGUUCGUGCCAGCAGCCGCGGUAACACGAACCGGACAAACGUUAUUCGGAAUCACUGGGCUUAAAGGGUGCGGAGGCGGCCUGACAAGUUGGGUGUGAAAUCCCUCGGCUCAACCGGGGAAUUGCGCUCAAAACUGUUGGGCUUGAGGGAGUUAGAGGUAAGCGGAACUUAGGGUGGAGCGGUGAAAUGCGUUGAUAUCCUAAGGAACACCAGUGGCGAAAGCGGCUUACUGGAGCUUUUCUGACGCUGAGGCACGAAAGCUAGGGGAGCGAACG
rnacentral:rRNA from 1 species